AUUGAACGCUGGCGGCAUGCCUUACACAUGCAAGUCGAACGGCAGCACGGGAGCAAUCCUGGUGGCGAGUGGCGAACGGGUGAGUAAAGUAUCGGAACGUGCCCAGUCGUGGGGGAUAACGUAGCGAAAGCUACGCUAAUACCGCAUACGAUCUAUGGAUGAAAGCGGGGGAUCGCAAGACCUCGCGCGAUUGGAGCGGCCGAUAUCAGAUUAGGUAGUUGGUGGGGUAAAGGCCCACCAAGCCGACGAUCUGUAGCUGGUCUGGGAGGACGACCAGCCACACUGGGACUGGGACACGGCCCAGACUCCUACGGGAGGCAGCAGUGGGGAAUUUUGGACAAUGGGCGCAAGCCUGAUCCAGCAAUGCCGCGUGCAGGAUGAAGGCCUUCGGGUUGUAAACUGCUUUUGUACGGAGCGAAAAGGCUCUCUCUAAUACAGGGGGCUCAUGACGGUACCGUAAGAAUAAGCACCGGCUAACUACGUGCCAGCCGCCGCCGUAACAC
rnacentral:rRNA from 1 species